rnacentral:lncRNA from 1 species
AGGUUUACGGACAGAACCAUCAACAAAGCCUAAUUUGUUCCUAGCGGACAAAGAAACUAUUAUGUUUCUCCUCCACCCCCCAAAACAAAUCCCUGAAAACGGAUUGGUAACCAAAGAAACUCCGGAUACAUCAGACGACAUAAGAAACAAAGGAUUUGACGGGUCAGGAACAAAAUUAGUAGGAGCAGGAGAAGAAUCAUCACCGAUGUUAGCCAUUUUAAGCACUAAUGAAGCCAAAACCUAAGGAAACCCCCAAAAAAUCUGACGGACAAAAAAAAACAUACAAACCAGCUAAUCCAAAAGCAAUACUCCGUGAACAUGCAACAUAUGAUGUCGACGAAGUAGCGAACAAACUCAAAAAUGGAUGAGAUGAGAAAAAAAAACUAAUCGAUUAAGAAAACCCUAGGUUCUGAAAGAGAGUGAAAACUCGGAUGAAACUCGACGAGGGUAACACCGCACGAAAGCUCUUGACAGGGAGAGUCGAAAAACCAGCUCUGAUACCAUGUUAACAUCCAUUGAAGCUUCGGAUUGAAGAAAAAAGAUGAAGAAGAUGAACAGUCGAAAAGAAGAAGAGAGAAUCUGAAGAGCUUCC